ACGCACGCUGGCGGCGUGCUUAACACAUGCAAGUCGAGCGGUAAGGCUCCUUCGGGAGUCCCCGAGCGGCGAACGGGUGGGUAACACGUGAGUAAUCUGCCCUUCACUUCGGGAUAACCACCGGAAACGGUGGCUAAUACCGAAUACGACCAGUCUUCGCAUGAGGUGCUGGUGGAAAGUCUUUUCGGUGAAGGAUGUGCUCGCGGCCUAUCAGCUUGUUGGUGGGGUAAUGGCCUACCAAGGCUUCGACGGGUAGCCGGCCUGAGAGGGUGACCGGCCACACUGGGACUGAGACACGGCCCAGACUCCUACGGGAGGCAGCAGUGGGGAAUAUUGGACAAUGGGCGAAAGCCUGAUCCAGCAACGCCGCGUGAGGGAUGACGGCCUUCGGGUUGUAAACCUCUUUCAGUACCGACGAAGCGCCCUGUCGGGUGGUGACGGUAGGUACAGAAGAAGGACCGGCCAACUACGUG
rnacentral:rRNA from 1 species